GACGAACGCUGGCGGCGUGGAUUAGGCAUGCAAGUCGAACGGUAGGAUACCUUCGGGUAUCUGAGAGUGGCGAACGGGUGAGUAACACGUAGGUGAUCUACCCUCAAGAUUGGGACAACCCAGGGAAACUUGGGCUAAUACCGGAUGAAAGCAGCAGUGAUGUUGUUUGAAAGGUGGCGUAAGCUGCCGUUUGGGGAUGAGCCUGCGCUCUAUUAGUUAGUUGGCGGGGUAAAGGCCCACCAAGGCGAUGAUAGAUAGGCGGCCUUAACGGGUGGUCGCCCACACUGGGAUUGAGAUACGGCCCAGACUCCUACGGGAGGCAGCAGUCGAGAAUAGUCUACAAUGGCCGAAAGGCUGAUAGUGCGACGCCGCGUGAACGAAGAAGCCCUUCGGGUGUAAAGUUCUUUAUUAUGUGAGCAGUGCUUUCUAUGUGAACAGCAUGGGGAGAGAGAUAUUAGCAUAUGAAUAAGCAACGGCUAACUCCGUGCC
rnacentral:rRNA from 1 species